rnacentral:tRNA from 1 species
AGGACUCGUGCCUGAAAUAGGGCCACUUUGAUAGGGUGGAACAUGAGGGUUAAAGCCCCUCCGACUCCU